ACAAGCAGCGGAGCGUGUGGUUUAAUUCGAUGCUACACGAAGAACCUUACCAGGGUUUGACAUGCAAGUGGUAGGAACCGAAAGGCGACCGACCUUCGGGGAGCUUGCACAGGUGCUGCAUGGCUGUCGUCAGCUCGUGUCGUGAGAUGUUGGGUUAAGUCCCGCAACGAGCGCAACCCUUGCCAUCAGUUGCUACGAAAGGGCACUCUGAUGGGACUGCCGGUGUCAAACCGGAGGAAGGUGGGGAUGACGUCAAGUCCUCAUGGCCUUUAUGACCAGGGCUACACACGUACUACAAUGGCCGGUACAAAGGGCAGCGACACAGCGAUGUGAAGCCAAUCCCGAAAAGCCGGUCUCAGUCCGGAUUGGAGUCUGCAACUCGACUCCAUGAAGUUGGAAUCGCUAGUAAUCGUGGAUCAGCACGCCACGGUGAAUACGUUCCCGGGCCUU
rnacentral:rRNA from 1 species